CGGAGAAGGCUAACGAAGAGACGGUUUGGCGUUAGAAACCGCGGUUGGCGUCCACGGCUCCUAAGCGGGAGAAUGAGCGACAGCGGGGAGCAGAACUACGGCGAGCGGGAGUCCCGUUCUGCUUCCAGAAGUGGAAGUGCUCAUGGUUCUGGCAAGUCUCCAAGGCACUCCCCUGCUAGGUCCAGAUCCAAGGAGGGUUCAAGGAGAUCUAGGUCAAAAUCUAGAUCGAGAUCUGAAUCUCGAUCCAGAUCAAGGAGAAGUUCUCGCAGACAUUAUACAAGAUCACGUUCACGUUCUCGAUCCCACAGAAGAUCAAGAAGCAGAUCUUAUAGCCGCGACUAUCGUCGCCGACAUAGUCACAGCCAUUCUCCUAUGUCUACUCGUCGGCGUCAUGUUGGCAACAGAGCAAAUCCAGACCCAAACUGUUGUCUUGGAGUAUUUGGAUUAAGCCUAUAUACAACAGAAAGAGAUCUGAGAGAAGUAUUCUCCAAAUAUGGUCCAAUUGCUGAUGUUUCUAUUGUAUAUGACCAACAGUCUCGGCGUUCUAGAGGAUUUGCUUUUGUUUAUUUUGAAAGUGUUGAUGAUGCUAAGGAGGCAAAAGAAAGAGCCAAUGGAAUGGAGCUUGAUGGGAGAAGAAUCAGAGUUGAUUUCUCAAUAACAAAAAGGCCCCACACACCUACUCCUGGAAUUUACAUGGGGAGACCUACUUAUGGUAGUUCCCGACGGAGAGACUAUUAUGACAGAGGUUAUGAUAGAGGCUAUGAUGACCGUGACUAUUACAGUAGAUCAUACAGAGGAGGUGGAGGUGGAGGAGGAUGGCGAGCUGCCCAAGAUAGGGAUCAGAUGUACAGGAGAAGAUCACCAUCUCCAUAUUAUAGCCGAGGGGGUUAUAGAUCCCGUUCCCGGUCUCGAUCCUACUCACCUCAACAAAUCCUCAUAACAUAAUUGGGGGAAAACUUUGCAUUUCUCCUUCAGUGGACAGUGUGGUAAUCUAAUAUUUUUAGUCGCUAUUGAAGUGAGAAAAUGAAGACUUUAUAGCUGCAAACACCGCAGUGUGAUUGCAUACUUGUUAUUUUUGUUCAGUUGAAUGGUGCCUAGUGAAUUAGGUGACUUUUACACCUUUUAUGGAGAAUAUUUUGGUGAAGUUUUAAAGUGUUGUACCAUUCUGCAUAUUUGUGUAGUUGGUGCUUUGUUCAGAAUUGUGUUUUGAGAAAAGUAUGUCUUUCGCAUGUGUUUAGUCUGAAUUUUGCAGAAGGAUUUCUGUUAUCUAAAUUCUUCAAUUUUUUCAGUUUCUAGGGUAUUUUGAAGAUCAAAACCUGUGUAAUAUGCAUUGAAAUGGUGGCAUAAUAAACAUUU